rnacentral:rRNA from 1 species
GACGAACGCUGGCGGCGUGCUUAACACAUGCAAGUCGAACGGAAAGGCCCUGCUUUUGUGGGGUGCUCGAGUGGCGAACGGGUGAGUAACACGUGAGUAACCUGCCCUUGACUUUGGGAUAACUUCAGGAAACUGGGGCUAAUACCGGAUAGGAGCUCCUGCUGCAUGGUGGGGGGUGGAAAGUUUCGGCGGUUGGGGAUGGAUUCGCGGCUUAUCAGCUUGUUGGUGGGGUAGUGGCUUACCAAGGCUUUGACGGGUAGCCGGCCUGAGAGGGUGACCGGCCACAAUGGGACUGAGAUACGGCCCAGACUCCUACGGGAGGCAGCAGUGGGGAAUAUUGCACAAUGGGAGGAAGCCUGAUGCAGCAACGCCGCAUGCGGGAUGACGGCCUUCGGGUUGUAAACCGCUUUCGCCUGUGACGAAGCGUGAGUGACGGUAAUGGGUAAAGAAGCACCGGCUAACUACGUG